rnacentral:rRNA from 1 species
UACGGAGGAUGCAAGCGUUAUCCGGAAUGAUUGGGCGUAAAGCGUCCGCAGGUGGCUGUGUAAGUCUGCUGUCAAAGAGCAAAGCUCAACUUUGUAAAGGCAGUGGAAACUACACGGCUAGAGUGCGUUCGGGGCAGAGGGAAUUCCUGGUGUAGCGGUGAAAUGCGUAGAGAUCAGGAAGAACACCGGUGGCGAAGGCGGCCAACUGGCCCGACCCUGACGCUGGAGGCGCGGAAGGCGUGGGGAGCGAACGGG